CGCAAAAGGAGGGUGGAUGGGAUGUCGUGGUUAGGGUGGGUCUCCGAAGCAGCAACCUCCACGCGGUGAGACCUGGGUCAGUAUUAUUUGCUAUAUAUAAUAUAAUUAUUAAUUAUUGUACAGCAAUUGCCUGUAGCAAAUAAUACUAGCUAAUUGGCUGCAAUCGCGAUUAUUUUUUUACAUAGAGCAUGCUAGGAAUAUUAAGAACUUAUUUUAAGAAUUUAAUUUUUCAUAAGAGUUUUGUCUCGUUUGUAUUAAGUUGUAUUAGUAGUAAGUUGUGUUAUUAUAGUUAGUAAGAAAUGAUAGCAUGUAAAAAUUUAAAUUUAAGACAUUUCGUAUAUACGUUACAUGUUAGUAAUAAUAAGGCAUAAGAAAUGUAAAUUCUGUGCAUUGCUGGUAAGUUGCCAUCUAACCAGAUGAACGUAUAAUGCGUUUUAUAUUGUUUGGUGGGAUAAGAAGAAACUUACCAUCCGCAUUCUCAAGAUACUAGCUUACCAGCAAUGCACUGUACUAAUAUUUUUUUAGGUCGAUAUUUGGGAACAGACUUUAAGUAAGAUGUCAGUAUAUUUUGUUUCUCGUCGGUAAAAACGUGUCGAUAUUUCAGAACUCUCUAACGAAAAUGUAUUACUGUUGUAGGUAAAGCAGAAACGUCGAUAGUCGAUAUAGAAGAGAGAAUACUUUGAAUAUAAAUCUACGAUCGAACGAAACAGCUGUUGUCUCGAGUUUGGGGGUGGUAUCUACUGUCAGAUGCUCCGCCUAUAAAUCAACCGAGCUCAUGGGGGAGACAGGCCGACGCCAUGUUAACAUACAUAAACAAACCUUGCGCGCCCUAACUGAUAAACGGCGAAAGCUACGGACGCAACAAGCGAUCGUACGCGAAUAAAAUAAAUCUCGCUUAGAAGUUUCGAACGAAGAAAAAUUAAACAGGCUGCUAGGAAUAAUUAAUAAAUGUCAAUCAGUUGCGUGGAAUCGAAGGUGUCGGUGGAGAGAAGUACCACCAGCUAAAAUGAUUUUAUGCCUGUCUUAUGAACAAUCUAAUGUUACCCGACCAAUGGACAAAGAUCAUAGGAUGGCUAAUGGUCGAAGACUCGUCCGUCUCGAAGACCCGAGACUAAUCAGCGCGAGCAUUAAUCAUCCCCGUGGAUCCUCGACCCAAUUUUCGGUAAGGUCAAGUCGCAAUGGAGACGUUGAUUGGAUUCCACGUCAGACCAGAAGUAAACACCUUUCCCUCCAUACCUC